UACAAUCAGCAAUAGAAAGAUAUGUAUCACUUAUUUAACUAGAAAAGAAAUCUGCUUCUAAAAGGUGGCUUCUAGGGGUAGCUUGUUGAGAAACAGGAUUUUGUUCCUAAGAACUUUGGUAUUUUCUAAAAAUUUAAAACUUCCAGAAUAAAGAAAACAUUACCCAACAUAUUGUCUUUGUAUUCCUAAAGUUAGGAAUGGAAUAUGCUUGGUUUUGUUUUUUU